rnacentral:miRNA from 1 species
AUUAGGUUGGUGCAAACCUAAUUGCAAUUUUUGCAUAUUUUUAAGUAAUUGCAAAAACUGUAAUUACUUUUGCACCAGCCUAAUAC